rnacentral:rRNA from 1 species
CCUACGGGAGGCAGCAGUGAGGAAUAUUGGACAAUGGGCGCAAGCCUGAUCCAGCCAUGCCGCGUGCAGGAUGACGGUCCUAUGGAUUGUAAACUGCUUUUGUACAGGAAGAAACAGUUCUACGUGUAGAACCUUGACGGUACUGUAAGAAUAAGGAUCGGCUAACUCCGUGCCAGCAGCCGCGGUAAU